UGGGGAAUUUUGGACAAUGGGGGCAACCCUGAUCCAGCAAUGCCGCGUGUGUGAAGAAGGCCUUCGGGUUGUAAAGCACUUUUGUCCGGAAAGAAAACGCCGUGGUUAAUACCCGUGGCGGAUGACGGUACCGGAAGAAUAAGCACCGGCUAACUACGUGCCAGCAGCCGCGGUAAUACGUAGGGUGCAAGCGUUAAUCGGAAUUACUGGGCGUAAAGCGUGCGCAGGCGGUCCGCUAAGACAGAUGUGAAAUCCCCGGGCUUAACCUGGGAACUGCAUUUGUGACUGGCGGGCUAGAGUAUGGCAGAGGGGGGUAGAAUUCCACGUGUAGCAGUGAAAUGCGUAGAGAUGUGGAGGAAUACCGAUGGCGAAGGCAGCCCCCUGGGCCAAUACUGACGCUCAUGCACGAAAGCGUGGGGAGCAAACAGGAUUAGAUACCCUGGUAGUCCACGCCCUAAACGAUGUCAACUAGUUGUCGGUCUUCAUUGACUUGGUAACGUAGCUAACGCGUGAAGUUGACCGCCUGGGGAGUACGGUCGCAAGAUUAAAACUCAAAGGAAUUGACGGGGUC
rnacentral:rRNA from 1 species